GGCGAUUUCUUUGACGACUGCAAUAUAUUUCUGAAUUGUUUGAGUGAAUUGCUCUUUAUUUUUAAAAUAUCCAAAAUUUAAAAAAAGCCGAACACAAUUUUGAAACUGACGUCUUUAGCUAUGUCCUGUGAAAAUUUGAGAAAAAUUGGUUAAAACCCGCAGGAGCACAACUCGUUUGAAAAUCAGUAAUUAACGUAAACCUUUUCGGGAGAAAAUUGAAUUUGAAUAUUACAUUUUCAAUGUUUUUCUU